rnacentral:rRNA from 1 species
UAAGCCUGUGAAGGUGGCCUGUGAGGGUUGCUGGAGGUAUCAGAAGUGCGAAUGCUGACAUAAGUAACGAUAAAGCGGGUGAAAAGCCCGCUCGCCGGAAGACCAAGGGUUCCUGUCCAACGUUAAUCGGGGCAGGGUGAGUCGACCCCUAAGGCGAGGCCGAAAGGCGUAGUCGAUGGGAAACGGGUUAAUAUUCCCGUACUUGGUGUUACUGCGAAGGGGGGACGGAGAAGGCUAUGUUGGCCGGGCGACGGUUG